CUCGUUGCUCUUUUCCCUGAUAUGGACAAACAGAUUCUUGAGAGAGCACUCGAAGAAUGUGGCGAUGAUUUAGAUUCAGCUAUCAGAAGUUUGACUGAGCUCCGUUUGGGUUCUGCUGAUAACAACUUGGGCUCUAAUGUAGUUAGAUCUGAUGUUGUCCUUGAGUCUAAUGUUCAACAACAAGGCGGAUCAACUACUAAUACAAAAGCUUCACCAGCUGAUGACCCAUCAGCUCCUACAGAACUUCCAAUGGAUGGGGCAGAGUGGGUAGAGCUAUUUGUUAGGGAAAUGAUGAGUGCCUCCAACAUGGAUGAUGCUAGAGCUCGUGCUUCAAGAGCACUGGAAGUUCUGGAGAAGUCUAUCUGUGCUCGUGCUGGAGCAGAGGCAGCCAAAAGUUUUCAACAGGAAAAUAUGAUGUUGAAGGAACAAGUGCAAGCACUUAUUCAAGAAAAUGCAAUUCUCAAGCGAGCUGUAUCUAUUCAGCAUGAGCGUCAAAAAGAGUUUGGAGAUAGGAACCAGGAGUUGCAGCAUCUGAAGCAAUUAGUGUCCCAAUACCAGGAGCAGUUGAGAGCCUUGGAGGCUGAACAACUAUGCAUUGACAAUGCACUUGAAGCAGGCUCAACAAAGCAACUCAAUCCCUGGCCGUUUCCACCCAGAUGUCUUCUAGCGAAAACCAUUGUCUAUUAUGGAAUAUGAAAAGAUCCCAUUACACUGCGAGUAUUUGCAUUCAUUUGGUGCUUGACUGCAAACGUGGAUUAUGUGAACCAAUGGCAAGCUGCAG
rnacentral:misc_RNA from 1 species